rnacentral:sRNA from 1 species
UGGGGUUGUGCGCCGCUCAAGCCCGUUUACCUGCUCCCCAGGCCGGCACCCAGGAUGGGCGAGGUGGAGGCCCCGGGCCGCUUGUGGCUCGAGAGCCCCCCUGGGGGAGCGCCCCCCAUCUUCCUGCCCUCGGACGGGCAAGCCCUGGUCCUGGGCAGGGGACCCCUGACCCAGGUCACGGACCGGAAGUGCUCCAGAACUCAAGUGGAGCUGGUCGCAGAUCCUGAGACCCGGACAGUGGCAGUGAAACAGGUAUCAGUGCCUCUGCAAGGGCCAGCAAGGCCUGGGGAUGGGAUUUGGGGAGGAAUUGCAAGCCGUCAGUGAAGGGGUACAUUAGGAAAAUCUGAUUGCGGCCGGGCGUGGUGGCUCAAGCCUGUAAUCCCAGCACUUUGGGAGGCCGAGGCGGGCGGAUCGCUUGAACCCAGGAGUUCGAGACCAGCCUGAGCGACAUGGUGAAACCUGUCUCUCUAAAAAAUUAGCGGGAAUGGUGGCGCGUCCUUGUAGUUCGUAAUCGGGAGGCUGAAGCGGGAGGAUCCCUUGAGCCCAGUAGGUCAAGGGUGUAGUGAGCAGUGAUCACCACACUGUACUUCAGCCUGGGUGACAGAGCGAGAACCUGUCU